rnacentral:rRNA from 1 species
GAUGAACGCUAGCGACAGGCCUAACACAUGCAAGUCGAGCGGGAUUCUCCUUUCGGGGAGAUGAGAGCGGCGCACGGGUGCGUAACGCGUAUGCAACCUGCCUUAUAUUGGGGGAUAGCCCGGGGAAACCCGGAUUAAUACCGCAUAACACUGUUCUCUCGCAUGGGAUUGCAGUUAAAGUUUCGACGGUAUAAGAUGGGCAUGCGUGACAUUAGUUUGUUGGUGAGGUAACGGCUCACCAAGACUACGAUGUCUAGGGGUUCUGAGAGGAGGGUCCCCCACACUGGUACUGAGACACGGACCAGACUCCUACGGGAGGCAGCAGUGAGGAAUAUUGGUCAAUGGGCGCAAGCCUGAACCAGCCAUGUCGCGUGAAGGAAGACGGUUCUAUGGAUUGUAAACUUCUUUUGUAUGGGAAGAAACACAGGUACGUGUACCUGCUUGCCGGUACCAUACGAAUAAGCAUCGGCUAACUCCGUGCCAGCAGCCGCGGUAAUACGGAGGAUGCAAGCGUUAUCCGGAUUCAUUGGGUUCAAAGGGUGCGUAGGCGGUAGAAUAAGUCAGUGGUGAAAGCCUGCAGCUCAACUGUAGAAUUGCCAUUGAUACUGUUU